UUAAAUUGAAGAGUUUGAUCAUGGCUCAGAUUGAACGCUGGCGGCAGGCCUAACACAUGCAAGUCGAACGGUAACAGGAAGCAGCUUGCUGCUUUGCUGACGAGUGGCGGACGGGUGAGUAAUGUCUGGGAAACUGCCUGAUGGAGGGGGAUAACUACUGGAAACGGUGGCUAAUACCGCAUAACGUCGCAAGACCAAAGAGGGGGACCUUCGGGCCUCUUGCCAUCAGAUGUGCCCAGAUGGGAUUAGCUUGUUGGUGAGGUAACGGCUCACCAAGGCGACGAUCCCUAGCUGGUCUGAGAGGAUGACCAGCCACACUGGAACUGAGACACGGUCCAGACUCCUACGGGAGGCAGCAGUGGGG
rnacentral:rRNA from 1 species